rnacentral:rRNA from 1 species
GGGGGCCGCACAAAGCGUGGAACCUCUGGUUACAUUCGAAGCAACCCGAAAAACCUUACCAAGUCUUGACAUUCUUUGGCAACCCUAGAGAUAGGGCUUUUCCUUUGGGAGCAGAGUGACAGGUGGUGCAUUGUUGUUGUCAGCUUGUGUCGUGAGAUGUUGGGUUAAGUUCCGCAACGAGCGCAACCCUUGAUUUUAGUUGCCAUCAUUAAGUUGGGCCCUUUAAGGUGACUGCCGGUGACAAACCGGAGGAAGGUGGGGAAGACGUCAAAUCAUCAUGCCCCUUAUGACCUGGGCUACCCACGUGCUACAAUGGGCGGUACAAAGAGCUGCAAGACCCCGAGGUGGAGCUAAUUUCAUAAAACCGUUUUCAGUUUGGAUUGUAGGCUGCAACUUGCCUACAUGAAGCUGGAAUCGCUAGUAAUCGCGGAUUAGCAUGCCGCGGUGAAUACGUUUCCGGGCCUUGUACCCCCCCCCCGUCCCCCCCCGAGAGUUUGUAACCCCCGAAGUUGGUGGGGUAACCUUUUUGGAGCCAGCCGCCUAAGGUGGACAGAUGAUGGGGUGAAGUCGUAAUCAAAGUAGUCAGUCAGUCGCG